rnacentral:rRNA from 1 species
GAAUAUUGCACAAUGGGGGAAACCCUGAUGCAGCAACGCUGCGUGAGCGAAGAAGGUUUUCGAAUCGUAAAGCUCCGUCUUAAGGGAAGAUAAUGACGGUACCUUAGGAGGAAUCCCCGGCUAACUACGUGCCAGCAGCCGCGGUAAUACGUAGGGGGCAAGCGUUAUCCGGAAUCAUUGGGCGUAAAGGGUGCGUAGGCGGCCUUAUGGGUCAGAGGUGAAAUCCUACGGCUUAACCGUAGUCAGCCUUUGAAACUGUAGGGCUUGAGUGCAGGAGAGGAGAGUGGAAUUCCUAGUGUAGCGGUGAAAUGCGUAGAUAUUAGGAGGAACACCAGUGGCGAAGGCGACUCUCUGGACUGCAACUGACGCUGAGGCACGAAAGCGUGGGUAGCGAACA